GUAAUUCUGGCAGGGGAGAUACCAUGAUCAUGAGGGUAUUUUUCCAGGGUGAGGCUUAUCCAUUGCACUCUGGAUGUGCUGACCCCUGUGAUUUCCCCAAAUGUGAGAAACUCGAUUGCAUAAUUUGUGGUAGUGGGGGACUGCGUUAAAAAAACAUGUAAAUUACCCCAC